AACGAACGCUGGCGGCAGGCCUAAUACAUGCAAGUCGAACGCCCCGCAAGGGGAGUGGCGCACGGGUGAGUAACGCGUGGGAAUGUGCCCUUAGGUGCGGAACAACGUUUGGAAACGAACGCUAAUACCACAUAACAUCUCCGGAUCAAAGAUUUGUCGCCUAGGGAUCAGCCCGCGUUGGAUUAGCUAGUUGGUGGGGUAACGGCCUACCAAGGCGACGAUCCAUAGCUGGUCUGAGAGGAUGAUCAGCCACACUGGGACUGAGACACGGCCCAGACUCCUACGGGAGGCAGCAGUAAGGAAUAUUGGACAAUGGGGGAAACCCUGAUCCAGCCAUGCCGCGUGAGUGAUGAAGGCCUUCGGGUUGUAAAGCUCUUUUAGGUGUGAAAAUGAUGAUGGUAGCACCAGAAAAAGCUCCGGCUAACUUCGUGCCAGCCGCCGCCGUAA
rnacentral:rRNA from 1 species